rnacentral:rRNA from 1 species
CUAGUAAUGGCAGGUCAGCAUACUGCCGUGAAUACGUUCCCGGGCCUUGUACACACCGCCCGUCACACCAUGAGAGUUGGGGAUACCCGAAGCCUGUGAGCUAACCGUAAGGAGGCAGCAGUCGAAGGUGGGAUCGAUAAUUGGGGUGAAGUCGUAACAAGGUACC